GAUGAACGCUGGCGGCGUGCCUAAUACAUGCAAGUCGAGCGAAUGGAUUAAGAGCUUGCUCUUAUGAAGUUAGCGGCGGACGGGUGAGUAACACGUGGGUAACCUGCCCAUAAGACUGGGAUAACUCCGGGAAACCGGGGCUAAUACCGGAUAACAUUUUGAACCGCAUGGUUCGAAAUUGAAAGGCGGCUUCGGCUGUCACUUAUGGAUGGACCCGCGUCGCAUUAGCUAGUUGGUGAGGUAACGGCUCACCAAGGCAACGAUGCGUAGCCGACCUGAGAGGGUGAUCGGCCACACUGGGACUGAGACACGUCCCAGACUCCUACGGGAGGCAGCAGUAGGGAAUCUUCCGAAAUGGACGAAAGUCUGACGGAGCAACGCCGCGUGAGUGAUGAAGGCUUUCGGGUCGUAAAGCUCUGUUGUCAGAGAAGAACAAGUACCGGAGUAACUGCCGGUACCUUGACGGUACCUGACCAGAAAGCCACGGCUAACUACGUGCCAGCCGCCGCAGUAA
rnacentral:rRNA from 1 species